GUCUUCUUUUUAUUGCUUUUAAUUGGAUCAAUAUUGUCAGCUUAUUGUUAUUAAUGCAAUUAAAUUAUAUUAUAAUUAUAUAGAAAUAUAUUGAAUAUUUUAUAAUUUAUCGCAUCAUGCUUACAGGCAGAAACUCUCAACCCAUUCGACAAUACCAUAAAGAAUGGUCUCUUCUACAACCUAAACGAGGGAAAUACCGCUGAUGUUAGUACCUCACCUGGUAGCGGAGGUAAUAGCAUCGCGGACGAAUUGGCUGAUUUACGUAGGCAGGUUAUCUUUUUACAAGGUCAAGUGGAGGACAGAGAUCGAACUAUACAACUAUUGCAGUUCCAAAUGUCGAAACUUCAAGGACCUAACGGCGUCGACGGUCAAACGUGUGUUUUAACCAAUAACCAUAAGAAUAUUCCAUCCGCGAAUACGUGCAAUGCUGCUACGCAAACAGAGAAGACACGUCCAGUGUCAGCAGGACCUUCACUCUUACAAACACUCCCACAGGAUGGUGUUAUGGGGCCUCUAGUUAGCUUCAGGAUCGGGAAGGUAGAGUCCUUGGAGUGACUCCUAGGAUCGACACCGCCCUACAUCGCGCAUAGAGCUUAAUGUUAACAGAAGUACGUACAAUAAGAUCUCGUGAAGAAGAAACCUCGCAUCGUCGAAAUGGGCAUAGUUGUCAGUAAGAAGGACUUUAAAGUCCACUGAAGUCCACCGAGUCGAAACAAUAUGGAGCAACGCGAGAUAAGAACUGCUAAGAACGGAAGGGAGUCCCACGAAGUCAUGUUACAGUUAGAGAACUCGCAACUUGCAACAUCGACUUUCAUACCAUCACCGAGACCCUAAACCUCGACAGGCCGAUCGCACAACUCGUAAUUCAUGUAGGUGCGAAGUUACGUUCGACUUUCGUUUAUUUUUGUACUACCUUCUUUUAUUUCCGCGGGGAUGCUGCACAGUUAGCUCUACAAAAUCGAAUCGUUGCCUUUAAUUCGUAGAACGUGAUACGGGUUAAAUAAUUAAAUAAUUUUUUAAAUAUUAUAAUAAACACGAACGAUGCGAAAUUUCUUUUGCAAUCAUACAACGAGCAACAGAAAAACGUAAUGCUCUGAACAUUUGGUACACACGAAUAACAGAAAUAAUGUACAAAUAAUGUAUGGAUAGUUAAGGACAAUUCAUAAGUUCCUAUCUUUUCACGUUUAUGUUUCAUUUAAUUUUUAUGCUUCACGAAUCGCAGAACAUGAAAUCAUUUUUCAACAGGGUCAAUGAAUUCAUUUGAUUAUUAGCAAAACCUUUGUAAUUAGAUGUGAUCGUGUCACUCUGUUUAUGAACGCAUACUAAUGCAUUUUAUCAUAUUCUAUAAAUUGCAAAAGUUUUGCGAAGAAUCUACUCAUGUACUUCACUUCACAUGCUAGUUAGCUACAGCUAGCAACAUCUGUUUAUUUACAUUCCUUUAAAUUAACAGCGGUUGUUCUAUGAAAAUUUCUUUUUAGUAUUUUUAACCUUUUAACCACCAAUACUGCGAAAUGGAAACUUUGCUCUACGAAUGGAGAAAAAUGAUUAAUCUUAACACUUUACCAACCGGUACCAGUUCAACAUCCAAUGAAUAUUUUCGCUUGUCUUAUGCUCAGGUAAAUUUGUACGCUUUCUGUUAUUAUAGGAUAAUCAAAUUUAAUAAACUUUAUUCUUUUUAUUUUUGUAUUUUACUUUUUGUAUUCACCAUCAAGGCUAAAUUUGUUAAAAUUGUAUAAAAAUAUGGAAACUUACAGAGCGAGGCAACUAGUAUCUCAAUACAAAGUAACGAAUACUUGCUAAUUACCAUAGCAACCGAUUAAACAGUUACCAGUCGGUGAGCAUUAGAGACAAAAAGCUACUUAAUCAGCCACCAGUUGGUAAAGUGUUAAGAAUUAACCUUUGCUUGAACAUCACAGUUUCUAAAACAUCUUUUUAAUCUUUUAAUCCUUUUAGUUUAAACAGCACCAUGCUCUUCAACGACUCAAUCAUUUCUUUCUGAAUAAUUUUCUCUAUUCUCAGUAGCUUCGAGCCAACUUCUUGGCAACUUUUCAUUUUUAUACAUACUAUUAAAUACCACAUUUUAAUUUCAAUGUAUUAUUCUCUAUUUAAUGUACAAAUUUUUGACGAUAAGUAAUAUGUUUUAAUUAGUCCUGAUCCUAACAGUAAUGUACAGCUGUUCAGAUCAGAUCGUUCUUGUAAAUUUCUUUAUAAUUUAUGUUACUUGUAAUUUAUUCCAUCGCUGGCAUGUAAGAUUAUAUUUGGUGCUAUUAAUUCUUUCAGUUUGCAAUAUUUAGAUUCUCCUGAAUUAUAGAAUAUAUAAAAAUAUCGUAACUGCAAUGGCCAUUGGUUAUUUUUAAUGAAAAAUUCUUGAAAUUACGAUAUAGUUAUUUACAUAUCUUUAAACGAGACAAUAAGAACCAUUUUAAAUGGUCGGUGUAUCAAUGGAAGAAGGUAAAGAUAAAUUUAUAAUUUAUUCAAGAUAAAUCGAUAUCAGGAGAUACUAAAUAUCUUAUAUAUUGUAUAUUCUUUUUGUAUAAUCUUUAAUUUGUACAAUGGUAUAAUAAUAAAAUGGAGGAGAAUCGAGAGGAUAAAACAAUUUUUUAUAUGGACAAAUGUAGUAAUGAUAUUGAAUUUAGUGGGUCUCACCUUCGUAAUGUAACAGGCUGAUAUGUAUGUAUGUAUGUACAAGAGUGUACCGCAGGUAGAGAGAACCUCUUUAGGAUGACAGACUGAAUAUCAAGUAACGAUGUUACUUUGGAAAUAACUGGAAGGAUAUUUGAUGAUUUUCAUUAUUAAUAUUUCGGUUAUAACUGUUUAAAAAACAGUGUUGUCACAAAUUUUUAAUAAAAUUGACUUCAUUUAAAGAUUAUUUCACAUAUUCUUAUUUACUUUUGUUUAUUGUUGCAAAAUGUGAAACUUAAAUAUUUUUUAAUAAUGAAAAGUCUUCAAAUUAUAAAUAUUAAUCAUACAUUUUCUUUUUGUCUCUCGUCUUUCAAUUAUUAUGUUACAUCUCGAAAUUGAUUACACGUUUAAAGAAUAAGGUAAUUCUAUGAUAAAUUUAGUUUCUCGCAUAUGAUAUUUUUACUUGAGCAAAAAACAUUUUUCAGUUAAAACAUUGACAUUACCUUUUUCUGUAAUUAUUCUUGAUUAUUACCAUGUGCAGUUUCCUGCUGAAAAAAAUGCAAAAUUUGAAAAACUGUGCUCAUGUAUCUCUACUUACUUUUGCCAAAAAAUAGUUGAAUUCCUUAUUAGAAUUAAAUCUGCUUUUUCAAGAUAGAUAUACUUGAGCACAAUAAUUGAUAACAUUUGUAGAAUGUUUUAUGAGAUGCAAACAAGUUAUUCUUUAAAAUAUUAAUAUUUAUGCAACAAACAUACAAAUAUUAUAUAUAUAUUUAAAAUAUUCUAAAAUUAUUUUUGUGAUUAUAAUUGUGCACAAAUAUUUAUAUCCAUGCUUAAUUACUGUAUAAAAGUUAACGAACAACUUUCAGCAGGAUGCUCUUUCACACCCUUGUCGUGUCAACAGUUGAAUAAUGUGCAAUUCUUCAAAAUUGUUAUAAUGCUGAUGAAAUUAUUUGAUUAAUAUGGUGUACUAACAGAUUGUAAAGGAAUUCGCACAAAACGCAAGUUUAUUUGUUUCAGCUAGCUUUUUAAAUUAUAUUAAUGUUUUCGAUGCUUUAAUAUUGUAACCAUUUCUAAAAAUUUUGGUAACUUUAGAAUGAAUGAGAACAAAUUGUACUUAAGUAACGUGCAAUAUUUUUUUUGUGUUAGAUGAACAGAAUUAAGUUUCAACAAAGUAGCAAAUAUACCUGACUUGAGCAGUGAAUGAUAUAUGACUAAGCAAUUAUCAUUAUAAAUGCUGCUGUUCCUUGAACGUGUAGUACUGCAUUUAUAAAGUGUAAAAUCUUUUAACGAUAGGCACCUUUAAAUGGUUAAUAUUAAAAAAAAAACAUGGCAACCACAAGUCAACCUUGUAAAAUCUUAAUAAAAUACAGCUGGAUUAUCAGUCUUAUUUAACAUUUACAAAAUACUAAAUAUAAAUAAAAGCUUUCUCUUGUAAUUAAAUAGAAACACGGGUAAUUUAUGUCCUGUAUUAGAUAAACCUUACUUUAAUUUGUACAUUAUAUGUAUAAAUAUGUUGCCUCUGUGGUCCUAAAUGCGAUAGAAUAAUAAAUGAAGUUAUGUUUGA